UAGUGUAGCGGUGAAAUGCGUAGAUAUUAGGAGGAACGCCGGUGGCGAAAGCGACUCUCUGGACUGUUUCUGACACUGAGGUGCGAAAGCUAGGGGAGCAAACAGGAUUAGAUACCCUGGUAGUCCUAGCUGUAAACGAUGGGCACUAGGCAAGGGAGGUUCCGAUGCCCUCCUUGCCGUAGCUAAUGCGUUAAGUGCCCCGCCUGGGGAGUAUGGUCGCAAGGCUAAAACUCAAAGGAAUUGACGGGGGCUCACACAAGCGGUGGAGCAUGUGGUUUAAUUCGAAGCAACGCGCAGAACCUUACCCGGGUUUGAAAUGCAGGGAUUAACCUCCUGAAAGGGAGGGGAUUGCCUUUGGUGUAACCUGUAUAGGUGUUGCAUGGCUGUCGUCAGCUCGUGUCGUGAGAUGUUGGGUUAAGUCCCUUAACGAGCGAAACCCUUGUCUUUAGUUGCCAGCGGGUUAUGCCGGGGACUCUAGAGAGACUGCCGUUGUAAAAACGGAGGAAGGUGGGGACGACGUCAAGUCAUCAUGGCCUUUAUGUCCGGGGCUACACACGUGCCACAAUGGCCGGUAUAAUGUGAAGCGAAACCGCAAGGUGAAGCAAAUCAAUAAAAGCCGGUCUCAGUUCGGAUUGGGGGCUGAAAUUCGCCCCCAUGAAGUCGGAAUCGCUAGUAAUCGCGGAUCAGCUACGCCGCGGUGAAUAUGUUCCUGAGCCUUGUACACACCGCCCGUCAAGCCACGAAAGCUGGUAGUGCCUUAAGUCGUGAUCCUAACCCUUCGGGGAAGGUAGCGCCCACGGUAAAACCAGUGAUUGGGACU
rnacentral:rRNA from 1 species